rnacentral:rRNA from 1 species
UACGUAGGGUGCAAGCGUUGUCCGGAAUUAUUGGGCGUAAAGAGCUCGUAGGCGGUUUGUCGCGUCUGCUGUGAAAACCUAAGGCUCAACCUUGGGCUUGCAGUGGGUACGGGCAGACUAGAGUGCGGUAGGGGUGACUGGAAUUCCUGGUGUAGCGGUGGAAUGCGCAGAUAUCAGGAGGAACACCGAUGGCGAAGGCAGGUCACUGGGCCGCAACUGACGCUGAGGAGCGGAAAGCAUGGGGAGCGAACAGG